ensembl:lncRNA
AGAAGGUCUACAUGACAUGUUUAAACUAAAGUCUCAGAACUAACUGAGCCGAUAACUGAGCCUAUAUUAUAGGCUCAGGCUUAUAGGCUGUAUAAUAUCUGUUAGGACCACAUUCAUGAGUGGUACUGUUGGAAACGUUACAGAGUUGGAUUAAAGGGUUUGAAUUGAAAUCAGUUCAACUUGACAAUUGCUUUCUGUUUGACCCCUACAGUGAAGGGUCGGACCAACCUGAAGAUCAAGGAGAAGUACUUGUCCCCAGCAGGGGGCUCUGCCAAGGGCUUGACUGUCAGCAGGUCUAACUCAAGCCUUAGUCUGUACAGCAGUGCCUCUGCCCCCACCAGCCCAAUGACACGCAGGGCAUUGCUCCGCAGAAGUUUCUCAGGUGACCGCUGCAUUCGUCCCAGGAGCUCCAUCGCUGCACUGGGGACCGACCUACAGUUUACCCCCCCAGGGCAGGACCUCACCCCCUCUCCAUGUGAAGAGGUCGAGAAGCUGCCCACGUAAUCACCUUUGACCGUGGCGCUUUGCGUACGCAGCGAGCAGCCUGCCGGAGCCGGGGCUCUGGGAACAAAGACUCUAACAGAGGAGAGCUGAAGGAGAACACACCAGUCACGUUGCACCACGAAGUCAACCGAUUGGAAGUGCUGAAGCGCCGUCUAUUUGACAAUACGUUUGGGGUGGCGAAACAUGAGACAGAGGUCACUCUUGUAUGAACGCCGUAGGGGGCAGCUUGGAUGUAAAAUUAUAUUUCCCCCCCUCAUUAGCUUUUAUAAAGUAGUUCCUGAUAUUAUAUAGGGAGAUUGCAUAGAGUAGAAUGCAUGGAUGUAUAGCAUGGGGUCGAUCAUACUCACAAACGUUCUUAUUUUGCUGUGUAGAUUAUGAACACAGUGCAACGGCAACUGACCUUUAAAACUGCCACAUCACAUACUAUUUUGUUCAUUUUUCAUGGACUACUUCGUCGGAUAAUAUUAUCCUUCCCUGCUGCAAGUUAUUAUUGUAACAUUCAGUUCACACUGAUCGAUACGACAAAGAUACCAGCAUUGUAUCUUACAGACGAGUGUCAGCUUUGAGAAACAUUUUUUUUAUCUUACAUUUCCCAAACAUUUUAUUGUUGGCAGGGCCACUGUGUUUUUUUUUACUCACUGUCACUGCUGUUUUUGAUAUUUGUUUUAUAUAUAAUAUUCUGUGAGUAUUGUUUUAAAUGCUACAGAGUCUAACGAUCAAUGCACUAAAUUGACAGAGGUCACAGUUGGUUUGUAGAGAUUCUUUUCUCAGGUUGAGGUAUGCCUAUUAUUCUGGAAUCAUACACCCAGACUGUAUAUGUCUUUGCAUACUGUCUCGUUUAAUACAUGUACGGGUGUGUGGAAGGUUGAUUGUAAUGCGAUAUUUGAAAAAAAAUUGGGUAAGCAAUUUGGUGUAUUUUAUUUUAGCCAUGUUGAGACAAUAUUUUGGAAGAAUUGCCUUUACUUUAACCGUCCCUCCACUAGUGCACUGUCACUCAAUAGUACUUUUUUUUUGCUAUGUCACUUUUAAAUCCAAAGCAGUACAUUUUUUCUGAUUUUCUUUAAUCAUUUAAAUGGUUAACCUUCCCGUCAUUGUCAUGUGCCACUUAUAGGACACUCUAGAGUACCUUUCAAAAUAGUGAACAUAUUCUUUACAUGUUCAAAAGGUUAUCUCUAAGUACACAUCAUGCCUAUAUAUAAUGCACCUGUUUAAAAAAGAAUGUUUAUAAUGAGUGUCUUUUGAAUAGCAACACAAUUACAAGGGACAUUUUGUAAGCAAGGUAAGAAGACUGAACAGGUCUGACGCAUUGUAAAUGUCCUAUAUCCGGAAUUUAGCCCUUUUUUUCUAUGUCAAGUUUGUACUUUCUUCUUCAGCUGGAAGUAGAUUUCCAACUGGAUGCUUGUGUAUCAAAUCAUUUAUAAUGGGGGCUAUUCUGUCUUCACGUAUGGAGGUUUUUUGGAAGUAUGUUAGAACGUUACUAUGCACAAUAUAGAACCUUCUUCUUUCAGCUUUGAUGUCAUAACGUCAGUUUACUAUAAUGUAAUAUACCGCAACCCUAUUUUAACUCUAGGGACCCUAAAUUGUCUGUACUGUACAUGUUUCUAUACCCACGAUGCACAUGAUGAAUCGUAUUUAGAAAAAACUAGAAGAAUGAUGUUUGGUCACUUGUAAACAAAGAACAAAACACUUUUGUAAUGAAACGUUGACUGUUGUAACUGAUUUGUUUAUUGACAAUGGUCGGGUGCUGAAUUACAUAACUCGGACUAGCCGGG